CUAUGACUGGGGAUAGAUGAGACAUGAGAGAUUUGCACACUUCAUUUGGACUUAAUUUAAAUCUAGUUAGGAAGGGUGUUAAAAAAGAUCUAAGAAUAGAAUAAGGAAGAGCUAAGAUUUUGAAUUUAUAAAUUGAAGGAUAACUUUAAAACCCAAGAUGGCACUUGAUUAAUCUUUGCUGUGCAUUAAAACUACUCUCAGAGAUACAAAACCAACCAACCAAACCACUCACAGAGAUAACUAUUGGUUUAUUCUGUUUUCUUGAGUCCAUCUUAAAGGUUCUAUAUUUUUCUGGAAAAUUGUCUUUUUCAUUUAAGUUAUGAAAUUCACUGGCAUUGGAUUCAAAUCUAUUCUACAUUUUAAAGCACCUUUUCUGCGUCAGGCACUGUGGUAGGCUCCAGGGAUACAGCAGAGAAGAAAACAGUAAAGACUGCCACCUUCAAGGAGCUUAUGAUGUUAUGUAACAAGAAGGCUCUGUGUAGGAGGGACCCAUAAAGGUGAACCUAUGGAGGGAGAAAGAUUCCUACUGUGGCAUUGAAUUCCUCUUCCCUGGGAAUUUGUCCUGGUCCUCUCUUCUCUCGCCUGUUCCCACACAAUACUCCUCACUUUCAUUUCCCCAGGUUGUCUGGAUCCCUUUGGUUUGUGUAUCUUAGCUGCUGAUAUUGGUUUCCAUCCCUUUGGUUCUGAUAUCCCAUUUUGGAUAGACCCUCCAGCUACUCUUCCGCAUUGAUCUAGUGCAGUUCUCAAUUUUGCCCGCUGGUUUCCAGUUUCUGUGGUUGCUGUAAGAGACCACCCCCUACCCUUAACUUUCCAACAGGUAUCUGGAACCAGUCCUAAUUCCCACAUAGCCAUUCUGUAGGGAGAAUCUGAUUGUAUCCACCAUCUACAAGAGGGACCCACCCCCAGUUUUAAUCCAUGAACACUUCUGCGUGAAAACCCAGCCCAUUUGGAUGAGAACAGCCAAACCUAUGUGUGCAGACUCCAGAAGGCAGAGCUACAUACACAUGGCCUUGCUUCUCUGCCCACCAUCCCUGUUUCCCCAGAGCACUUCUAUGCUGUCACCAAGGACAACUGCACCCAGGGCUGUCUGCUCUCUGGAUGAUUGAAACCAUUAGUAAUUUACCCAACUCCGGCUGCUGCCUUUCAUUAAUUAUCACUAUGCUAAUGAUGUCCCUCAGGAAAAGGAAAAAAUAAUAAUUCUUCCUCCAAUGUAGGCUGUGCAGAGACAGAACAUCUUUCAUAAAUAAAUCAGGGGUGGAUGUUUUGCCUUGAAUUCCUUUGAACUCUUCCCUCACAGAGACAGAGGAUGUGGAAGUGGGCGUAAUAGGAUCAAAUGAAGCAGGUGUUUAGCCUGUCUGUUCUUUCAGAUAGGAGGUGGGGUCACCUUUACUUAUAUGCCUUUCUCAGUAAAGGCAGAGACUUUCUUAAAAUGUAGCAAAAGGAACUGGAUACAGCCCUCCAAAACAAAAUUGUCUAGUAAAGCCAUGGAUGCGUAAAGCCACUGAUACCGUGUUUAAAUCACUACACUUGUGAUUUAAGAAGACAUUUCCCCCCAUUUAAUCUGACCUUGUAGACUCAAGGAGAACUAAAUGAAUUAACAUAUAUGAACAGCAC
rnacentral:lncRNA from 1 species